UACGGAGGGAGCUAGCGUUAUUCGGAAUUACUGGGCGUAAAGCGCACGUAGGCGGCUUUGUAAGUUAGAGGUGAAAGCCCCAGAGCUCAACUCUGGAAUUGCCUUUAAGACUGCAUCGCUCGAAUCAUGAAGAGGUCAGUGGAAUUCCGAGUGUAGAGGUGAAAUUCGUAGAUAUUCGGAAGAACACCAGUGGCGAAGGCGACUCACUGGACACGUAUUGACGCUGAGGUGCGAAAGCGUGGGGAGCAAACAGG
rnacentral:rRNA from 1 species